CCAAACCUACGUUAAACCGCAGCAAGCUCAUAUUUCUAAUACCCCAGUCAUGUAAUUAUUGUGUCUAGAGUGUCUUUCAUAGAUUAGACAGCUGUGCUGCGCAUUCUUCAGUGACCAUCGAGCCUCAGGCCUAUUGGCUGUUUUCCCUAAGGUUGUGAACUCUGCUCCUGUUCUUAGGUGAUACUCAGGACUGAGGAAACCAGAGGGUUGUGUUCCAGGACUUUUCUCAGCGAAGGGAAACAAAGUGGCUGGAACUUGCACUGCUCAAGCAGCUCCUUAGUGCUGAUAUCCCCAACAAAGCAGGAAAGCAUCCGGGCCUGGAUUUGCAUUUUAAUGUUGGCACAAAAUACAUCUCAAUGCCAGCAAACAAGGAGGAGGAAUGUGCUAGAGGGCACUUCCCGUUCUUUAGAAGGACAAUAAGCAAAGAGAAGUCCAAAGUGCAGAAGGGAAGAUGUAAGCCAAGAUGAAGCAGGAAAAAAAAGAGGAGGAAAACAUAGAGAUGGAAGGAAGGACUAACUGCCAUAAAGCAAAGGUGUGACUGUGGAAAGAAACCCACCCAGUGACAGGGAGUGAUACCAGGAAAUCUACGUGGAUAUGGAUUUGCUGCAAGGGCAAAUCACUGAGUAGCUCUGCUCUUCUGACAGCACCUUCUGCUGCACAGUGUUGUCCUCAUGUUCAAUAUUUCUUGUUCAGUGGAUACUACGGGUGAAGGUAGACAAUGUGUGUGAUUUCAGUUAUUCAAGACAGAAAAACUCACACCAUAUUGUACCUUGUAGUUCAAAUGAGUCAAGCACACUUGGAGAAAAAAUGCAGACAUGUUUUUCAGUAUCUCUUUCUCUCUAUCACUGUCUCAUAGUUGGAUGUUUUGGGUAACAAAGCACAGGAUAUAGUGCUAAAACCACCAUAAUUUUUUGACACUAAAUCCCUGGUACCUACAAAAUCAG